rnacentral:rRNA from 1 species
UACAGAGGGGGCAAGCGUUAUUCGGAAUUAUUGGGCGUAAAGGGCGCGUAGGCGGCUUUGCAAGUGACGGGUGAAAGCCCUCGGCUUAACCGAGGAACUGCCUGUCAGACUGUAAGGCUUGAGACCGGGAGAGGUGAGUGGAAUUCCCAGUGUAGCGGUGAAAUGCGUAGAUAUUGGGAGGAACACCAGUGGCGAAGGCGGCUCACUGGACUGGUAUUGACGCUGAUGUGCGAAAGCGUGGGGAGCAAACAGG